rnacentral:rRNA from 1 species
UACGGAGGGGGCUAGCGUUGUUCGGAAUUAUUGGGCGUAAAGAGCGUGUAGGCGGCCUGACAGGUCUGCUGUGAAAACUCGAGGCUCAACCUCGAGAUGUCGGCGGAAACCGUCUGGCUAGAGUCCGGAAGAGGAGAGUGGAAUUCCCGGUGUAGCGGUGAAAUGCGUAGAGAUCGGGAAGAACAUCGGUGGCGAAAGCGCUCUGCUGGACUGCAACUGACACUCAGGGACGAAAGCUAGGGGAGCGAAUGGG